GCGCCCGUAGCUCAGCUGGAUAGAGCGUUUGCCUCCGAAGCAAAAGGCCAUGCGUUCGAAUCGCAUCGGGCGCA
rnacentral:tRNA from 1 species